UGCCGGGGGGGUGGGCUCGCCGCUUUUUCCUCCGCCGCCUGUCCCCAAAAGCAGACGUGCAGAGGACUAGCGCCUUGCGCUGCCCGUCGGUUUACCAACGCUGCCCAAAGAAAGGGCUGGAUUUAGCCGUCCCCAAAAGGCUGGAAAGCCAUCAGCCAUUCCGAAAUAACCCUCUUUGGUGUUUUUGUUUUAUCUAACAUCCCUCCCUUUCUGGUUCCCCAGCUCGAAUCAGAGGGGUUUUGUUGGGCCCUGUGAAUUGCACACGCUGACCCCCCCUGCCCCGCCCCAGAUUUUGAGGAAGAAUUAUGCAGAAUGGGAACUGGCGAAGAGAGAGGGGGAUUUUAAAAAAGGAGCGUGUAGGAAAUGCUUUUGGAUGGCCAGCUUGCGAGAAUGAGGAACAGAGCUGGGGGGUUCCCCUUGGCAUCACGGCAGCAGCCGUGGCCUUGAAGAAGAUCGGGUACGACGCGUCCGACGUCUCGGUCGGCUGGUGCUGGAUUGACAUCACCGCGCAAGAUCGGCUCCUCUGGAUGCUGCUGGCGGGGAAAUUGUGGGAAAUCCUCGCUUACGUGACCUUGCCAAUUUUUUACAUUCUGAUCAAGAAGCACAUCAACCGAGCGCACGCAGCCCUCUCGGAAUAUCGCCCCAUUUUGUCGAGAGCCCCGUCGUCCCAGCCGAGGACAUCCGUGGCAGACCAGAAGCUGACCUUAAUACCGAUUAUUUUCAUCGUUCUCCGCAUCUGGAGUACCGUCCGGUUUGUGCUGACCCUUUGGGGCUCCCCUGCAGUCCAAAACAGGCUCCUGGUGGUGCUUCACGGCGUCGGAAACACAUUUCAAGGAGCAGCAAAUUGCAUCCUGUUCGUUUUUUGCACCCGCGUGGUCCGGAAUAAGCUGUUUUCUUUGUUGUGCUGCUGGCGAUACGAGAGUCCGGACCCUCCCCGGGCGAGUUUGGAGACCAGCUUCCAGGCUGAGGCUCCCCCCUGCAAAGCCUGCGAGCCGCAAGGCGGCAAUAGCACUGGGGCAGACUUGUCCAGCACCUGAACUUCGCAGGGCUGCAUCGUCAUGGGAAACUCCUCCCGGCCUGGUGGCAUUUUAACCGUAACAAAAAUGAUGUCAAGUGCCUAUAAAGGAUGAUUUUCAUUCACCUGAGAAUAAAAAAAAGACUUUGGGGCUUUUUACAGAAAAAGAAAAUCAUUAGACGCUCACCACAAAAAUGCCUGGAUCUGAAUUCCUCCAACUAAACUUUUUCACUUCUCAGGGCUUUUUUUGGGAAGAUGCUGUGAAGACGUGUUUCUAUUUUUAAAUCAAAUUUUAAGGGAAAAAAGAGAGAGAGAGAAGAAAAUACUGAGUUAAAUUUCAAGGGACGCGGUUAUCCAGGCUCAAGGGGGAGGAAAGAGGCGUGAUGGUCAAAACCCUGUCUGGAAAUCACAGAAGAGAGAGGGACUCCGGGUCCCAUCGUCCUCAGCUAGCUUGAUUAGCAAGGAUGGAAGUUGGCGUCAAGGGGUUGCAUGAAACUCUCUGAAGAUCCAUCGAAAAUUGACUCCGAUCUAGGCCGUUGAGGGCGGUACGGUCUUUGCUGGUGCGAGGACUAUAACAGCCUGGAUUUCAGUAAAUUUUGAUUUUCCUGCAGCUCCACCAGCAAAGCGAUUGGACUUUGACUCAGAAGUUUCUGGGUCCAGCGGAUACCCCCAAUUUUUGAGGACGGCGCGUGUUGCUUCGAAUAAAUGGUCCGAAACCUUUGCCGGGCUGAUUUUUCUCAUCCUGCAUACCUCACUUCCAUGUGUGUGUGUGUGUGUGUGUGUGUUUUAAAGAAAACAAUCCAACCCAACUCUAAAAUGUACAGAUUAAGACUCAUUUUCCAUCCCCCGGUUUGAGGGCGGACUUUAAAUAAAAAAAUUUUUUUUAAUAAA